GGUAGCGUGGCCGAGUGGUCUAAGACACUGGGUUAAGGUUCCAGUCUCUUUGGGGGCGUAGGUUUGAAUCCCACUACCGUCA
rnacentral:tRNA from 1 species